rnacentral:lncRNA from 1 species
UUUUAUUCCUCAGGAGAGUUGUUGGUUUUCUACCCAGUACCCGGUAGUUGUAAAUCCUGUAUACCUUUUUUCCCUUUUGUGGAAUAGGUGUUUGUGAACGUCUUUGUUCCUCAGCAAGAGUCGAUGGUUUUCUACCCAGUAUUCGGUAGUCGUAAAUCCUAUUUCUUCUUGCUCCUCAGCAGUUGGUGGUUUGUUAUAAACCCUAUUUUGUUUCCCCGUGCGGAGUUGUG